GGAGAAGCCUGAUGCAGUGGUUUGAGUGUUGGACUAGGAAUCUGGAGACCAGGGUUUGAAUCCCUGCUUGACCA